GGAGGGAUGGCAGAGUGGACGAUUGCGGCGGUCUUGAAAACCGCAGUGGGCUUCGGCUCACCGGGGGUUCGAAUCCCUCUCCCUCCGCCA
rnacentral:tRNA from 3 species